rnacentral:lncRNA from 1 species
UGAACAAGAAAUUGAUGACAUCCUUCUCAUUGAUCCGCAUAAUCACGAAUACGAAGAUCUUACCGAUGAUGCCACAGACGAAGCUGUAGAAGACGAGUUUAAUGAAAAUGAUGAUAUUUCUAGUGAUGACGAGAAUGUCGAUGUAUCCGAUUGAUGUAUUUGAUUUUGUGUAGUUUGUUUUAUGAAUAAGGUAAUGUGAGAGUUUGUUUUAUGAAUAAGGUAAUGUUGGAGUUUGUUUUAUGAAUAAGAAAUGUGGGAGUUUGUUUUAUAAAUAAGUAAAUGUGGGAAUUGUGGUUUGGAAUGGAAAUAAAGAUGGGGUUUGGAAUAUAUGAAGUAGAAGAUAAGGAAUAUGGGGUUUUGGGUUUGGGGUUUCAGAUUUUAGGGAUUUAAACGUACUACUCGUUAAUUCCUCGUAAGUUGACGUCGAAUGUACGACGUAAUCCUCGUUUAUUCCACGUAGGACAGAAUCGUCGUAAAGGACUCGUUAGCUAACGUGGAAAUAACGACGAAAUUAAAAAAAUAAAGAAAGCGAAACCCGUUAAUUCCACGUAGGACGGAAUCGUCGUAAAGACCUCGUAAGGUAAAUAGACGUAAAUACCACGUAAAGUAAAUGACGAAGGAGGCACUCUUUAAUUCCACGUAGGAUGAAUUCGUCGUAAACACCUCGUAAAAAAAUCGUCGUAAAAACCUCGUAGACUAAAAACUAGAAAAAAAAGGAAAAGAAGAGAGAUACCAGAUUUACAUGUGCAAGACUUCCAACAAUUAUAAUACUUAAGUCUCGCCCACAUAAAUUCUAUAUCUUUUUCUCUUCUUUUUUUCCAAAUAUUUCUAAUUUGGUGAAAAGCGGGACUUGCUACUUCCUCAUAGUAUAAAACUAGUAAAAAAGAAAAGAAGAAAGAUUCUGGAAUUAUAUGUGGCGAGACUUAGUCUCGUCCACAUAAGUUCCAAAUCUUCUCUCUUCUUUUUUUUUUCAAAUAUUUCUAAUUUGAAAAGCAUUUUGGUGAGGUGUGUGAUUUGAGAUAGGGUGUGUUUUGUGAGUUUGUGUGUGGUUUGAGAAGGAAAGUUGUGGGUAUUUAUAGAAAAUAUAAGCUCGCUAAUUCCUCGUAACAAGUUAACUCGUUAAUUUCACGUAACAUAACUCGUCGUAAAAACGUCGUUAACGAAAACACGGGCCUUUGUAAUUCGUCGCUAUUUCCUCGUAUAAGAAAACGCGGGCCUCUGUAAUUCCUCGUAACUUUACGAGGAAAUGACGAGGACAAGUAAUCUUAUAUAUCCCGAGCGAGCUCGCUCUUUCUUCCUCUCCACUUCCUCCCUAUUUCGUAGCAAUGGUAAAUCUCUCUAAUUCCUCUCUAGUUUGAUUAGUUUAGGAUAGAUUAGGUGGUUAGUAUAAGGAAUUUAGAUAGGUUUACGGAUCUUAUGUUAUUUAGUGUUGAUUAGGUGGAUAAUGUUGGGAAGUAUAUUGUUCACGAAAAUUUAAAAAAUUAAUUUUUUUCUCAGGUUCGAAAAGGUAGACUUACUGCCCAUUACAGAGAGAUGUUCGGUGAGCCGGGUAGUCGUUUAGACCCGUCGUCUUCUUCAGCUCCCGGUUCUUCGGGUCAGGAGACUGUCCCCGAGACUCAGUACACUCAGAGAGUCUUUGGAUCUCCUUCUUCUAGUGCACCAUCGGUUCCUCACGUGCCUCCCCGAUGGCUCCUCCUCUUGUGCUCCUCUGAUGGCACCUCCGAUGCCCGCCGAGAUUCAUCCCGAUUUGAUGGUGCCUCCGAGUGCUCCUUACUCGCAGUACACCGUAGAGGACAUUUCCGUCUGCCAGGCAGAGAAGGUUUACCAGUCAUCGACCCCGACCGACCGGACGGAACUUUGUGGUAUGUUUCAUUAUUUUUUUAUUCUUUUUAAAUUCUUUUAUAACUUUAAAAAUAAUUUAUAUUUUAAAUUUGUAUUUUCCAGGUGGGGGAUUGACGGAUGUCUUGCAUCGGACGUAACCGACACGAUAAAAUGUUACUUCUCCAUGGCACAUCCGAACUGGAAAAAUGACGCCUCACUACGUCAGAAAGACGUGGUUCAAAAUUUACGCUGUAAGUUUCUAUUAAUUAAUUAUAUAUCUUUAAAUUUUUUCAUUAUUUAUAUAUUUUCUGAAAAACUAAUUAUAAAUUAUUUUUUCCAACAGCAAAAAUAUAAUUGGCCUUGGGGAUCACUGAGAGGGUGAGGAAGAAGUUUAUCGCGAAGGCGAAAGUUCGCUUGUUGGACACGGUCUCCAACUGGAAGGGUGACUGGAUCGUGAAGGGGUAUGAGCGUGGCAAACCCGCUGAGCUCACCACGGAUGUCUGGGAUGGCCUCAUCCGAUAUUGGCGUCUUCCUGAUUCCAUUAGAAUCGCCCAGUCUUGCUCUAACUCCCGUAACACAGUCGAUGAGCACGGGAACGGGCCGAUGCUUCACACUACGGGCCAAAAACCCCACGCCGGUGUCCGUUUGGAAAUGGUAAUUAAAUAUUUAAUUAUAUUAAUUUUUAGUAUAUUUUUAUAUAUAUUCUAACAACUUUCUUAAAUGUUUUUUAGGCCAAAGAGACGGGAGAAUUCUCCGUCUCUUAUGCAACUUUACGAGAGGACCCACAAGAACAAGGCGGGCCGAUUUAUAGAUGGCAAGUCCGAGCAAAUCUACAACGAUUUGGCUGCUCGGGUUGAAGAACGCCAGACCCAGCUGACCAGCAGUCCACCGAUGGAUUACCCGUCACUUAUCCACACCUGAAGUGGAUAAGCUUUACGAGGAGGUAAAUUUUCUAAAAUUUUAAUUUUUUAAUUAUUCAUUUAAUUUAACUUUAAAUUUUUACUAACAAAAUUUAUUUUUUGUUUUUAAGGUUGUCCCUAAAAAAAAGGGACGGACGUUGGGGAUUGGUUCCGUCAACGAUGUUCCGAGAGCAACAUCGUCUUAUGUUCAGCGACGGGAUGAUGAAGUCUCUCAGCUGCGUAGGGAGUCCGAAGAGCUGCGUAGAGAGUCUACUGAGCUGCGUCACGAGUUGAGCUCGACGCGAUCUGCGUUCACAGCUCGUGUGGGUGGACUCGAGGGCUUCUUGGACGUUGUAGCGGCCACAAAUCCGGAAUGGGAGACUUUGUUGAGGACCAUGCGACAACAAAAUCCUAUCCCAGGCGAGUCACCAACCGACGACUCACAUGCCGAGGCGGAUGUAAUGGCGAGGAGUGAUGAAUUCUACCAGGCGAUUAACCACCCUUAGUUCUUUUUAAUUUCGGUUCUUGUAUUAUGAAUUCAAAACUUAUUUAUAUAUAAAAUAUUUUGGUUUGAUUUUUUUAGAAUUUUAAUUUUAUUAAUAAUUUAAUAAUUAAAAUAUUUUUUUUAAUUAUAAUUUUUUAUAUUUCUGUAAAAUAACGAAACGAAGUAAAUUCGUAGCUAAUUUUGCGGCUUCUUUACGUGGAAGCUUAACGUGGAAAGCUUUUCAAGGUAUUUACGUUGCUUUACGAGGAAAGCUAUCAAGGUAUUUACGUUUACUUUACGAGGAAAGCUAUCAAGGUAUUUACGUUUACUUUACGAGUAUUUAUUUACGUGGGUUUUACGAGGAAAGUCUUUCGUGGUAUUUACGAGGAAACUUAGCGACGUCCUUACGUGGAAGUUUACGUGGUCUUUACGACGAAAUAUUCUCUUCGCUUUUACGACGAAUUAUUUCCUCGCUAAUUACGACGAAUUAGCGAGGAUAUAUGCGUUACGACAAACGUAUAACGACGAAACGGGUUUCCUCGCUAUUUCUCGUAACACUGCUUUUACGACGAAGUCACGAGGAAAACUACCCUCGUAAAACUUGUGUUUUCUUGUAGUGUUCGCCACAUUAAUUCUCCGGACAGUUUCUUGUUCUCAGCUCGAGCUGACUCAAGCUCCCUGCCUCAGCUCCCUGAUUGUGAUCUUCCCGCUUCAACUCCUCUCUACUCGGAUGAUCCAGAAGGUGNNNNNNNNNNNNNNNNNNNNNNNNNNNNNNNNNNNNNNNNNNNNNNNNNNNNNNNNNNNNNNNNNNNNNNNNNNNNNNNNNNNNNNNNNNNNNNNNNNNNUUUGAUCAUCUUCGUCUUUGGAAGCUCUAAUGAAAAAACUUUAAAUGGAUAUUUGAGAGAAUUGUCCAAUUAUCAAAGUAUAUACAGAAUUUAUAUUAUUUUUUACAUUUGUCUUUACAGAUUUAGUGCUUAUGGCUUAGUAUUUAAGGAUGAAAUUAAAUUUGAAAUUUAUGAUAAAUUAGAAUUUGUUUUUUUUGUUUAUUGAAUACCUUUUGAAAUUUUGUUUUUAGGCUGUUUUGUGAUACUAUUUUAUGUUAUUUAUAAGAUUUUUCCAAAUUACUUUUGAAAGAGACUUUCUAACACUGGUGACACCACAUUACAUCAUCAUAUAAUCUCUAACUUAAUUACAUAUGAUGAUUACCUGCAUCAUAUGCGAUAUGAUAAAAAAGCUCCACAGAUAAUAAUUUUACGAUGAAGUUCUCCCUAAAUUAUUGCAUGUAUGACAUACUUGACGGAUAGACUCUCUCUCACAACAUACGACCACAAUGAACGACUCUGCGUGCAGUACUCUGGAACUUUCGAUAAUCUUGGCAUCAUAUAAUCUGAAAGAAUUCACAUGGUCUAGAUUCGAACCUCUUACAUGGGUGUAAAAACUUUUAGACCUUAACCAUCAAGCAAUUAAAUUGUGUGAGAUGAAACCUUCUAAAUGUGACGUCUAAUAUGAUGUAAUUUAUGAUAAAAGUUAUACGGUAAAACUAAUAGAUUUAUUUAGUAAAUCUGUGGUAUAAAAUUUUCAAAAUAAAAGUUUCAAAAUAGUUUCAAAAAGCAUUUUCGAAUUUAAAAAAAAAUAGUUUGAAAACAAAACUUUAAACUUAAAAUUAAAUUAUAAAAACUUAGAAUUUGAAAACAUAUAAUUCAAAAACUAUGUAAAAAUAUUUUUUAUUGUUUUAUUAUUUAUUUAAAUAAUUACUAUAUUUAUAUAUAAAUCAAGGUAUAAGAGUUUUUUGUCUCGUUAAUGAAACAUCUUUUGAUUAUUUUCUUCCUUGGAAUCUCUUCUAGUAAAACUUUAAAAGGCUAUUUGAGAGAAUUUCCCAAUUAUCAAAUUAUAUAAAUAAUUUAUGUAAAAUAUAUAAAUGGAACUAAAGUUAUAAUUUUAUGAUAAUUAGUUUUUUUUGUUUAUUGAAUACUAUUGUGAAUUUUUUUUGUAGGCUGUUUUCUGAUAAUUAUUUUAUGUUAUUUUAUAGAUUUUUCCAAAUUUGUUUUGAAAGAGAAUCUUUUUAACACUCGUAACACACAUUACAUCAUCAUCAUCUAUCUCUACGAACUACUCAUGAAUUGAAUUUAUGCACAUAAGAAAGCAAGACCAAAACGAGGAGCACUCCCAUCGAUCUCUCGAGUAGCCAGAAAGGAUCAAAGAAACCAAAGUUUAAGGAAAUUUGCAAUUUCUACCGAAUAAAGCCAAUAGUAACAAAAAAAAUGAUUCCAGUCUUUACUAGAGCCGUUUACAGUCAACAAACGCGAUCUAUUGUUAAAUUUGGGGGCUUGCAAGGCUUUCAGACACAGUCAAUCCCGCUCUACGCGAAAAAGCAUCGACAAAAGCUUAUUAAAGAUAAUGUCGAUCCUUAAUGAGAUAGUAUCAACUAGAUUAAUCCGAGACCUCAUAAUAUGAACAAAGUGUCUAGCAACAAAAGUAAACCAAGGCAAAAUUAAAGUACUUGAGUUCAUAACAGAAACAAUAUAGUACUCCGAAAUCAUCCUGACAAAAAAAAAAACUGUCAAAACUAGGAAACAACAAGAUCCGGUCCGGAAACGACGAACAAAAGAAACAAAAGAGGCCUUAUAAGCGAGACUAGCUUCGUCACCAACCAGGCAACCAUAGACUGAGGGAUGGGACUUUGAGUCACAGAAUCCUCAGAGACAUGCAGAAGGUCGAGACGGAAGGGACCAGUCCGAUACAUCAGCAAGUUCGACCAGAGCUUCGUAGUCCAUGCCCAUCUCCUUCAAGCGCACAAGCUCGCCGUUCGGCUCAAGCCCUCCAUCUUUGAACUCUUCCAACAGCUCGAUGUUCGCAACGACCUCGUGAAUAUGAAACUCCUCCGGCAUGCUCUCCUUCUUUUACUUCUCCCACUUCCGUAAUUUUCAGGAAGAGUGCGGCAAGCAGUCCAAGACGCCUUGUGAAUGUCCCGAUCACGACUAGCUUCAAAUCCGCAUUACUCGCUGCAAGGGCAGCCAUCUCCUGUGCCGCGUUACCACCCUCAAAUCUGGCUCUCUCAAUCCUAAUUCCACUACAAGAAAACGUAAGCUUAACGAGGAAAUUUAACGAGGAAAAAUAUUCCUCGUAAAAGUAGUUGAUUUUGCGAGGAAAGUACGUGGAAAAAGAAAAGCAUCGUUAUUUCGUCGUAAGGUCACGACAAAACAUAUUCGUCGUAAAGACAAUGUAAAUUGACGUGGCUUUUACGAGGAAACAAUAUUUCCUCGUAAAUACGACCUAAAUUUCGCGAGUUCUUUACGACGAAAUAUUUUACGUGUACUUAACGAGGAAAUUUUGAUUCCACCAACUUGGUAGGUGGCUCACGUUUUUUUUUGGCCAUCCAAUUAAUUUUCGUCGUAAUUUCAUAGUAAAAUUACAACUACCAGAUUCGAAAUUUCCUAUAAAUAUGGAUGUUUGAACAUCAUUUUAAACACACCAACAACAAAAAACGUGAAAGAAAAAAAAAUGGCUGGCUCUGGGACUAUUUACGAGUUGCGGAAUUGGAUGUAUAUGCAUAUAGAUGCUAACGGGAGAGUGACGAAAGAAUACCUUGCGGGGCUGGAGACAUUUAUGCACCAAGCAGAUUCAACACCGCUCGCCCAAGAAAGUGGUAAGAUGUUCUGUCCUUGUCGGAAAUGCAACAAUUCGAAAUUGGCAAACCGUGAAAAUGUUUGGAAGCAUUUAAUAAAUAGAGGUUUCACGCCAAAUUACUAUAUCUGGUUUCAACAUGGGGAAGGUUUUAAUUAUGAUCAGAAUGAAGCUAGUAGUAGUAAUAGCAAUUUUCCGGAAGAACCGGUUAAUCAUCAUUUGCAUAAUGAACAUAGUUACCAUCAGGAGGAGAUGGUAGAUUAUGAUAGGGUUCAUGAUAUGGUAGCUGAUGCAUUCGUAGCUUAUGAUGAAGAUGAAGAACCUAAUAUAGAUGCAAAAAAGUUUUACGGAAUGUUAAACGCGGCGAAUCAACCACUUUACAAGGGUUGUAGAGAAUGUCUCUCUAAAUUGUCGUUGGCUGCUAGAAUGAUGAAUAUUAAAACUGAUCACAAUCUACCUGAAAGUUGCAUGAACGAAUGGGCGGACUUGUUUAAAGAGUAUUUGCCGGAAGACAAUGUGUCUGCUGAUUUUUAUUAUGAGAUUCAGAAAUUGGUUUAUAGUCUUGGGUUGCCUUCGGAGAUGAUAGAUGUCUGCAUCGACAACUGCAUGAUCUAUUGGGGAGAUGAUGAGAAGCUAGAAGAAUGUCGAUUCUGCAAGAAGCCACGAUUCAAGCCGCAAGGACGGGGACGUAAUAGGGUACCGUACCAAAGGAUGUGGUACCUACCAAUUACAGACAGAUUGAAAAGAUUGUAUCAAUCAGAGCAGACUGCUGAAAGAUGAGAUGGCAUGCCGAGCAUACUCAGACGGAUGGUGAGAUGACUCAUCCAUCAGAUGCAAGAGCCUGGAAACAUUUCAACAAAGUACAUCCGGAUUUUGCUAGCAAUAGCCGGAAUGUGUAUCUCGGAUUAUGCACAGAUGGAUUUAGUCCGUUCGGAAUGUCAGGGAGACAAUAUUCAUUGUGGCCAGUCUUUCUUACGCCAUACAACCUGCCACCGGACAUGUGCAUGCAACGGGAGUUGCUAUUCUUGACCAUAUUGAUACCUGGUCCGAACCAUCCAAAAAGGUCCCUGGAUGUUUUCCUACAACCACUGAUAAAAGAGUUGAAGGAUUUGUGGUCAACAGGGGUGAGGAGGUACGACUGUUCAACGAAGACGAAUUUUACAAUGCGAGCUAUGCUUUUGUGGACCAUAAGUGACUUUCCUGCCUAUGGGAUGUUGUCUGGAUGGACUACACAUGGGAGAUUAGCUUGUCCAUAUUGUAAUGGAACGACAGAUGCGUUUCAACUGAAGAAUGGUAGGAAGACAAGUUGGUUUGAUUGUCAUCGUCGAUUUCUUCCCAUUGGCCAUCCUUACCGAAGAAACAAGAAUUUGUUUAGGCACAAAAGGGUUGUGAGAGACACUCCUCCGCCAUAUCUAACUGGAGAACAAAUUGAAGCACAAAUCGACUACUACGGAGCUAACGAAACAGUUCGUUGGGGUGGUAAUUGGCAUGUCCCUCGUAAUAUGCCUGAUUCUUACGGUGUUCAUCACAACUGGCACAAGAAGAGUAUAUUUUGGGAGUUGCCAUAUUGGAAGGAUCUUCUUCUGCGCCACAACCUCGAUGUGAUGCAUAUAGAGAAGAAUUUCUUUGAGAACAUCAUGAAUACAAUAUUGAAUGUCCCAGGGAAGACAAAAGACAACAUAAAAUCGAGGUUGGACUUGCCGGAUAUUUGCUCAAGAAGCGAGUUACAUAUUAAAAGCAAUGGACAAGUUUCCGUUCCGAUAUUCAGACUGUCUUCAGAAAAAAAGUCGGUGUUGUUCAACUGGGUGGCAUCAGAAGUGAAGUUCCCCGAUGGGUAUGUUUCAAAUCUCUCUAGAUGUGUUGAAAAGGGUCAAAAGUUCUCCGGGAUGAAGAGUCAUGAUUGUCAUGUCUUUAUGCAACGACUACUGCCCUUUGCAUUUGCGGAGCUACUUCCAACAAACGUACAUGAAGCACUUGCAGGUUCGUAGUGUAUUAUAUCACAAUAAUUUUAUAACGGUCUAGUUUGCAAAAUAAUAUAUGACUAACAAUGUGUUUAAUUGUUUUUGGAAUAUAAAAGGCAUUGGAGCAUUUUUCAGGGAUCUGAGCACACGCACUCUUAAAGAAGAAGUUAUGGAACAGCUUCAGGAGAACAUUCCCAUCUUAUUGUGCAACUUGGAGAAGAUAUUUCCUCCUGGAUUUUUUGACGUCAUGGAGCAUCUAGCUGUCCACCUCCCAUAUGAAGCAUUGCUUCGUGGACCUGUACAUUACGGAUGGAUGUAUCAGUAUGAGCGAGCCAUGAAAUAUUUGAAGGGAAAAGCAAAGAACCUUGCCAAAGUUGAAGGUUCUAUAAUUGCUGGAAGUUUGACGGAAGAAGUUUCUCACUUCACAUCGUACUACUUUGCGUCAAAAGUACGUACCCGGAGAAGAGCUCCAAGAAGAUAUGAUGAUGGUGGGGUUGCGCCAACAUAUGCAGUUGCUGGUGUUCCAGACAUCUUUAGCCAGAUUGGACGACUCGGUGGGAAGUCUAAAGAGGUUUGGUGGUCGAGUGAACACGACGCUCAUAGUGCACACACCUAUAUUCUACUCAAUUGCGAGGAUCCAUUGAUGCGUUAUUUUGAAAGGUAACAUAAAUGGACACUUCAAAACACAUAUAAUUAAUUAUAUAAUUGCAAGAGAUUCAUUCCUAUGAAACGUGAUUAAUUUUACAGCCUAUUUGUUUCUCAAGUCGAAGAAACAUUUCCUGAUAUAUCCACAAGUGACGUAGACAAAAGGAAAGAUCAGCACUUCAUUAAGUGGUUGCGGAAUCAGGUAUUAUAACUCAAAUUAUUUUUUCAUACAUGAUUUGUAUUUUAAUGUUCUCUUUAUUUUUGGAGGUUGAUUAUGACGACGAUGCAGAUUAUCCUAAGUGGUUACACGAAGUAAUUCAAUCUCCACCUGUAAAGGUCACCACAUCACAGAUGUAUUUCACACGAGGCUAUACUUUUCACACAUAUGAGUAUGGUAGACAGCGGGCGACCAGUAACUAUGGAAUAUGUGUGAAAGGGGAAACAGAUUUCUACGGGAUCUUGACGGAGAUUAUUGAAGUCGACUUUCCAGGGAUACUGAAGCUGAAAUGCGUCCUCUUCAAAUGUGAAUGGUUCGACCCCGUCGUCAACAGAGGUGUUCGGUCUAAUAAAUUUGGUGUAGUUGAUGUCAACGGUGGACGACGGUACAACAAAUUCGAACCUUUCAUCUUAGCUUCACAAGCAGACCAAGUUAGCUUCCUUCCAUACCCUUAGAUGAGAGAUUCAGGUAUAAAUUGGUUAGCAGUGAUCAAAGUUACACCUCGAGGACGAAUCAUCAAUGGAGAAGAACCACCAUUGCAAGAAGAACAGAUAAAUGAAGACGAGGAACCUGAACAAGAAAUUGAUGACAUCCUUCUCAUUGAUCCGCAUAAUCACGAAUGCGAAGAUCUUACCGAUGAUGCCACAGAUGAAGCUGUAGAAGACGAGUUUAAUGAAAAUGAUGAUAUUUCUAGUGAUGACGAGAAUGUCGUUGUAUCCGAUUGAUGUAUUUGAUUUUGUGUAGUUUGUUUUAUGAAUAAGGUAAUGUGAGAGUUUGUUUUAUGAAUAAGGUAAUGUUGGAGUUUGUUUUAUGAAUAAGAAAAUGUGGGAGUUUGUUUUAUAAAUAAGUAAAUGUGGGAAUUGUGGUUUGGAAUGGAAAUAAAGAUGGGG